rnacentral:lncRNA from 1 species
UAUGUGGCAGGGAUAUUUUAGAUAUUUCACCAUUUUCUCUUUCAUCGUCCUCUUCUCCUUUCUCUCUCUAAACCCAAAACAGAUCUCUCUCACCACCAUCUGCAACACACAAAUUCCACCAUGCCGACGACUUAAUGUCAAGUUUGUAAAAGGGAGGAGAAAGAAUGAACCUAAGUCGUUCAAAGGUUGAGCAAGGUCAACGAAUGAAAGGUUUCGGUGAGGGUUCCGCAAAGAAUGGUGAGAGAAUUUUGGUGAGGGUUUAAGCGACGGUGACGAGAAAGGAUUGAUGAAUUUGGAUUUUGAUUGACGAUGAGAAAGAGUUUUAGCGGUGGUGGUGAGGGUUAAGUUCGAUGAUGAAUGUUGAUGAUGAAGGUCAAUGAUGAAUGUUCAUGAGACAUUUUCGGACAACCUCAAAGUACACAAGCGACAGUACACGACGGCGACGGCAUCUGUGAAAAUUGUGUUGGAAUUUCUUGCCGGAGAGGUGCGAGAAAAGAACAGGGAUGAGAGACAGAGAAAGACAAGAGUGAAUGAGAUGAGAGAGAACAUUAUUUCUUUUCUUUUUUCUUUUUUGUAUGAUGUAGAUUAUAAAAUCUUUUUUU